UAUUUGGUAAAGUUUUCUGACAUUCUUUGCCUCAUAACCUUGAAAUGAUUCUAAUGUUCCCUGCAUUUCUAUCUGCAUGACAUCCACUGCUUCUCUUUCCCUUCUUUGCCCUCCAAUUUUCUGAUAUGGACCUACUCCCAUUUUAAUAUCUUCUGUUUGGUUUUCCCCAUUCUAUGCCUUCCCACACCUUGAUUUUCAUGGAGUAUCUUUGCUUUCCUAUAAACAUUAGAUUUAUUUCCCUCAUUUAUACAUCUCCAGAGACUUGUUGAUUUGAUUGUGAUUUUAAGUGUAAUGUAAAAAACAAGAGAUAUUAGGCUCAUCAGCACACCUCUUCCAUUCUGUGUACGUUUUCUGAUAAAUGACCACUGAGGUAGAAUCAUUGUCACUUUUCAAGUUCAAGGGACAAUAACCAUGCAACUGAUACUGGCCCAAACUUGAAGUGGAAAGCAAACUCCACAUUUGCUGAAUGAAGUUUCUCUACCUUCUGCUCAGUCAAAGGCUCAUUUUCUCCUGUCAUCCACUGGUCAAGAAUGGAGUCAACUCUAAGCUAACUCUCCAACAAACCUUGAUCUUAUUAAUCAGUUGUUCCCAGGUAUAUAAAUAGUUUACCUAAAAUAGUGUGGCAUCUUAGCUUUCAAAAUUACUCGUUCCGCAACCUGCAAAUGUUCUUACUGUGUUUAGAAGGAUAUCAUCUGUCCAGGGAAGGUCAUGUGAUAACAGAUCUCUCAUUAAUGAAAUGUUAUGUUAGUGAAAUGAAGAGUGGUAUUGCUUGGCAAACUGUAAUGAGUUUUUACAGAAAACGCUAAGUCAAACACUAAGAUUUUCCAACCUCUGUACCCUUGAUAUGCUUUCAUUUACAUUUUUGUUUUGGAGAAAUUGCAUUUAGCCAUCUAUCUCUUUACACUUUGUAGGAAGCUAAGAGUGCCUAAGUCUCCAUUAACGCAUGUGUAGAGGAGGAUUUACUCUUUACUGUAUGUUUCCUCAUCACUCUUUUUCUGGCCACACCCACAGCAUGCAGAAGUUUCAGGGCCUGGGAUCAAACCCAAGCCACGCUAGGACCUGGGCCACAGCUGUUACAACACCAGGUCCUUAACCUGCAGAGCCACCAGGGAACUCCAUCAUCCCUUAUUAAAUACAUCUCUAGUAUAUCUGCUCAUGGAACAUUUUUUAUUCUGAAAAAGGUAGGCGGCCCAACACAAGCCCAAUGCCUGAAAAUGCUUAAUCGAGAGGAACGCCUAUUCUACUUCCUCUGAUGAGGCCAUUUCCAAUCUUACAUUCAUGUGGGAACCAGAAAGUAUGGACUUAAACCUGCACUACUUCCCAUUACUUACUUGGACAUUGAACCUCAUGAUUUAGAUUCUCCUAAGUGGAGGGCCACUGGAACUUGAAAUUUUUGACCUCUCCUCUUGCUGCCAUUGACCUCUUGUUUUUAGUGGAUAGGUGUUUCCUUCAUUUUAUUUGACUGAUUAGUUAAGAGGAAAAAGGUAUAUCUCACAACUUAUAUCACUUUGUACCUAAGCAGGUUUCAUACGAUUCCCAUAACUUUGUCUUCAACACGCAGUUCCCAUCUACCCCAACACCUGCAGACAUAAAACUUACAUGAUUUUUCUUGUUAUUUAGCCAUUGCAGAUCAAAGUUGCCUUCUGCAUUGGUUAUUCUGUUUACUUCCAUUCCUGCUUCUGUGAUUUCUCUUCUUGAUACAAUCUAGGCAGACAUUUCUUUGUGUCAGCUAAAUGUCACUAACAUUAGUAAUUACACAUUUCAAAGUUCUGCCACUUUCAAGCUUCUGCAGUACGAGGUUUUUUCCAAAUAUGCUCAGCUGUUUGAGUUACAACCACUUUCACUCUCAUUUAGGACUGAAAUCCCUUCUUUCACACGUGAACGUGAUUUCAUUAAGAAGGGCUUCCCUUAGGCACUAUCUAACAUAGAAACUUGCAUUACAAAAGUUUAUGUGUUCACCAGUAGACAAAAGUGUGAAUAGAACUAUCCAGGGAACAAACCCUGCAUUUCCUCUGCAACACUGGCCAAAGAUGUCAACGCAAUAGUUAGAGCAUCUUGAGACAUCUUAGCUAUUACAGUAGUGAUGUUGACUCCAUCUAUUAUCAGAGCUCAUAAUCCUAGUAAUAAAGCAGUAGUUAUGGCAAAAUAGGUAAAGAACAUUUUUAAAAUGUAACAUUUGGAACUAUUACUUGAAUAGUUUGUCCUUAGUUAAGAUGACGUUUAUUUUUUACUCUUAUUCUCCUUCAGGAGAAUGCUCUCUUGACAAAAUAAGAUGUCAUCCACUCUGUGUGUGUGUGUGUGUGUAUCAUUAUUCAGCUAGUUAUAAGUUUAUAUAUGAAUUGUCUAAUAACUUGUGUUUCCUGUUGUUCCAUUUCCAUGAUAUUGACCUUAAACUUUUCACUUUAUUUUUCAGAAAAACCUCAGGGAAAAAAUGGUAAGUGUUUUAAAAAUUUGUUACUCAUUAAUCUUUUUUACACGACUGAUUUCUUGAGGUCUCGACAUUCCAAAUCUCUUAAUCAUCAUGCUUUUCUUUGUCUUGUCCUUUUCUGGAAUGUGUAUCUUUCCACUUGCAAUUUUUCGUUAUAGAAUUCCCCAUAGAAAGUUCUUUCCAUGAAGCUUUCCAGCCUCAAAUCCACAUCCAACUCUGCUCUUUCUAUUAUUUCUUCACUAUCAAUAAUAGCACUUUUAUGUUUUUUUAGAGAAUGGUUUCAGGCUCAUUAAAAAGUCCAUGAGUUGAAGGACAUUAAGUUGAAAGGCAGUAGGUUCCAUCCUGUUUACCAUCCAGGACACACCCCUAGUUAGGACCCUGUGACAUUCCAAUUUCAAGGGUCCACAUUUAUGCCAGUGGGACUUGCUGAAAUCUGCAGAGGUGAGAGAAAAUGCCCAGCAGCCUACCUGAAGUAUGACUCUUCAUUGUCCCUUCAAAGCCUUUAUAAAUCCUGCUUUUUCUUUCAUCCAGAAACUUGAGGAGCAUUUCUCCAACUGUGCCUGAAAACGAAAUUCAAGCACUCCAAGCUAGAAGAAUAUUUCCAAUAUUAAUUUUGGAAUUUUAUUUCUAACUAUGGAAAUUUGCUGUUGUUGUUGUCUUUGGUUUUAUAUUGUGAAUGACAGAAUGAUCACCUUGGUGGCCUGAAUUCUGUUUAACAAUUGUAGAAGAAUUCUAAAUCUCAAGAACUGUUCAAUUGUUCUUUCAAUUCUCAGCUUUUGAUGUGAAACCUAAAGAAACCAUUGCCCUAAGAAGUUAUCGAGAAUUUUUUUCCUAAGACAGCAUAAAAUUUUCAUAAUGUUAAUGUCUUUUAAUCAUAAUUUUCAGUGAUCUUUUUUUUUUUGUCUUUGGUCUUUUUUUUUUUUUAGGGCCUCACCUGCGAAAUAUGGAGGUUCCAGGCUAGGGGCUGAAUUGGAGCUGAAGCCGCCAGCCUAUGCCACAGCCACAGCAGCACAUGAUCCAAGCCGUGUCUGGGAUCUAUACAGCUCACUGCAACACCAGAUCCUUAACCCACUGAGUGAGGCCAGGGAUCAAACCCGUGUCCUCAUGGAUGCUAGCAGGCUUGAUAACCUCUGAGCCAUGCCAGGAAUUCUAUCAGUGAAAAUUUCUGUUUCAAGGAUAAUUCAAUUCAGAAAGGUAUCAAAUUAAUAUAUUUGGCAGGAUUUAAAUGACUUCUGUAGGAGGUAUAUUUGUGAAGAGAUGAGUCUUUGUUCUUCUCAGUUUUUUUAAUGUACCUCUCUCCUGAAUGAGUUUUUGUUCAUUGUCUAUUUAUUCUCUAAAAGGACACGGCCUAAGGCAAGACCAAUGAUUGACGUAACUUUUAUGGCUGAAGGGAGGCUGUAUUACCUCUUUGUAUGGUAUCAUUUUGACAUUAUUCUUCUUGGAACACAGGCAUGUAUGGAAGUAACACGUUUCCCUCCACUUGGUGAAAAGGACUUUAGGUCUCAUGGUUCCAAUACUCAGAAACGUGCCUCAGUUAGGACCCCACAGAAAACUAUGGCAGAGUUUGAAAACUUUACCUUCCUCCAUUCCUGACAUCUUACUUCUUUGGGGGUGAAUUUUUCAUUUCUUCCUCUGACUUUAUCAGCAAAUGUUAGGCAAAAGGGCAAAUUAUGUGGUCAUUUUUUCUGUGUAAUUUCACAGUUUCAUCUGCUUUGUAUCUUAGUCUUCUGUGCUCGAUCACCAUCUUCCUCAAGGUCAACGUACAUACAUUCUUGUUUAACAUCCGUUUUUUGUAAUUAUAUUUUCAAUCACAUUUUGAUUUACAGAUUGAAUGGAAUUUAGGAACACAUUUUGUCAACGCAUGAAAUAGACUUCAUAGGACUAUGGCAGCAGAUACAGUUUGUGACAGAGGGGUACUUUUCUGUACUUUUCCAUUACAUUUUAGAUGCUUGUCCCAUAUAUGUGAGCAACUUGGUCUUUUAUGGUGAAAGAGCAGGAAGGCCCGAUGGAAGAUCAAUGAUUGUCAUGGCUUAUAUCAGAGGAAGGUCUGCUCUAUGUUCUGUCAUUAUUUCCUUUCCUAUCUUAACUCCUUGUGCACAAAAGUAUGGGAGUAUAAAACAACAUUGCCUUUCAUGGGCUACCUGGCAUUUGCAACCUUUGAUUCCAAGUCUUAGGAAUGUGGUUCAAGUUUAAGGAAAAAGUGAACAAUGGAAGGGUUUCAAAUUAUUGGCCUCUUCUCUUCCGGAUAUUGUGCCUUCAUUUGUAUUUUAAAUGGCUAUUUCUUCUUUUUAUUUUUCAGCUAAGGGUGAACAGAAUAAUGGCAAGUCCCUUUAAUACUUUACACCUUGUAUUUUGUCACGUUUCUUCUGUUUCUAUACCAUUUGUCUUUGAUGCUCCGUGAUCAUCUUUCUCAACUCCAACCUACACAUAUAACGUCACAUCAUAAUUUUUUCAUUUCUUCAUUGUUAUUUUAGCUAAAAUUUAUCAUCUUCAUAUGUUAUUCAAUGCCCUAUUUUCCUUUGAUUUAUUCUAGCCUUGCUACUCAUAUAGAAAUUUCCUUUUUCUCAAAUAUAUUCUAAUGAUAACUAACUUGUAAAAUUUUGCUAUUUUUAAGUUCUUUGUCCAAGAUGGUUGCACUCAUUUGACUGAGAAGCCCAUAAACUGCCAAUUAAUAGUUCACUUCUUUUCUUUUCAUCUGACUUUGUGAAAGUAAGCGUCAUUGAGGUAAAGUUAAAAAUUAAACUUCCAUAAAAUACGAAUACACAUUAAUUAACCAAGAAAAUGAUGUGAAUAGAGGCACCCAUCAACCUGACCUGAACUGACUUGAAUGUCCUAUAAAAGCAGUAGUUCAGGAUUCUGUAAUUCAGUGUCUGGUGAGUUAAUAUACCAACGCUACCACUCUAGGAACAAAGAAUGUAUUUAGGAGAAGUCAGAUGAGAUAUAACCAUAAAAAACUGAGGAGUAAAAGACUACAUACUUUCAAAAGAAAUCAUGAACAAAUUUAUCAGGUCCAUAACCAGAAAUAGUGUUUCUCGUUUUCUCAUUAAGAACAUGUAUUUGUUUUCCCCUCUUCAUUUAUCGCACACUAUUCAGUUCUCAAAAGGGAGCUUUCAGACAUGGAAUGUGUGCACGUAUUUGUUUAUGUGUGUAAGUGUGUGUGUGUUUGUAUCUGUCUGCAUCUUGAUAAUUUAAUUUUAUGGGCAGAUCUUACAAUAAAUCUGAAUUUCAUUUAUGUUUCUUUCCAAUGAAAUUUUCCUUGGCUUUUCAUUUUAUUUUACAGAUGAACAUCAGAAAAAGGAUGAUGUUCCUGAAAAAAUAUUUGGUAAGUGUUUCUUACACCCUUUGCCCCAUAACCUUUUAAACAACUGCUAACAUUCCCUGCCUUUCUUUCUCUAUGCCAUCCAUUAGCUCAUCCUUCCUUUCUUCCAUAUGUAAGACUUUGAAUAUGAAGAAAAAAAUAAAAGUUCCCAUCUGAGCCGAAACGAAUCCGACUCAGAACCAUGAGUUUGCAGGUUCGAUCCCUGGCCUUUCUCAGUGGGUUAAGGAUCCAGGGUUGCCAUGAGCUGUGCGGUAGGUCACAGACAUGGCUGGGAUCUGGCAGUUGCUUUGGCUCUGGCAUAGGCCAGCAGCAACAGCUCCUAUUCGUCCCCCUAGCCUGGGGACCUUCAUAUGCCACAGGCACAGCCCUAAAAAGGACAAAAGACAAGAAAGAAAGAAGGAAAGAAAGAAAGAAAGAAAGAAAGAAAGAAAGAAAG
rnacentral:lncRNA from 9 species